GACGAACGCUGGCGGCGUGCUUAACACAUGCAAGUCGAACGAUGAAGCCCAGCUUGCUGGGUGGAUUAGUGGCGAACGGGUGAGUAACACGUGAGCAACGUGCCCAUAACUCUGGGAUAACCUCCGGAAACGGUGGCUAAUACUGGAUAUCUAACAUGAUCGCAUGGUCUGUGUUUGGAAAGAUUUUUUGGUUAUGGAUCGGCUCACGGCCUAUCAGCUUGUUGGUGAGGUAAUGGCUCACCAAGGCGACGACGGGUAGCCGGCCUGAGAGGGUGACCGGCCACACUGGGACUGAGACACGGCCCAGACUCCUACGGGAGGCAGCAGUGGGGAAUAUUGCACAAUGGGCGAAAGCCUGAUGCAGCAACGCCGCGUGAGGGAUGACGGCCUUCGGGUUGUAAACCUCUUUUAGUAGGGAAGAAGCGAAAGUGACGGUACCUGCAGAAAAAGCACCGGCUAACUACGUG
rnacentral:rRNA from 1 species